rnacentral:lncRNA from 1 species
UAUGUUGAACUUCUCCCAAGGUGGUGAUCUGAGACAGUUGCCCAACACCUCAAGCUGGUUGAGAGCUAUUGGAAGAUGCCUGUAGCUGGUUGCAAAAUAUUCAGGUAUUGAAUCAAGCCCGAGGCUGCAAAUCUUUCCUCAGAAUCUAUACACGAAGCUUUUUGCAAAGCUGGCGAGAUCCAUUUCAAGUCAGAAUAUCACAGGUUCUGACUCAUAGAUUGUUAGUAGUGUUUUAGACUUUCUUGCUAUAGCAUCUUGAUGAGUGGUGAGUUUACCACUCAUUUGCACUCAGUAUUCGAGCACACUACUAUGAUUUAAAUGUAUGAAUAGAAAAAUUUUGUGGUUUAAUGCACUAUUUUCCACAUCUUACAAGCAUACAAGUUAUGAGAAGAAAAGAGGUUGAUUUGAGCUGAUCAGGAUCAAAAUGGAGAAAAGAAGUGCAGCUGGAAGACCUAGAGCAGAAAUCAGCCUCAGUUAUCGUAAUCGCAGUUUGAGGGCUGCGAUCA